UACGUAGGGUGCGAGCGUUGUCCGGAAUUAUUGGGCGUAAAGGGCUCGUAGGCGGUUUGUCGCGUCGGGAGUGAAAACCUUGGGCUUAACUCAGGGCUUGCUUUCGAUACGGGCAGACUAGAGGUAUGCAGGGGAGAACGGAAUUCCUGGUGUAGCGGUGAAAUGCGCAGAUAUCAGGAAGAACACCCGUGGCGAAGGCGGCUCUCUGGGACGGUACUGACGCUGAGGCGCGAAAGCGUGGGGAGCAAACGGG
rnacentral:rRNA from 1 species